rnacentral:rRNA from 1 species
AUUGAACGCUGGCGGCAGGCCUAACACAUGCAAGUCGAGCGGAUGAAGGGAGCUUGCUCCUGGAUUCAGCGGCGGACGGGUGAGUAAUGCCUAGGAAUCUGCCUGGUAGUGGGGGAUAACGUCCGGAAACGGGCGCUAAUACCGCAUACGUCCUGAGGGAGAAAGUGGGGGAUCUUCGGACCUCACGCUAUCAGAUGAGCCUAGGUCGGAUUCGCUAGUUGGUGGGGUAAAGGCCUACCAAGGCGACGAUCCGUAACUGGUCUGAGAGAAUGAUCAGUCACACUGGAACUGAGACACGGUCCAGACGCCGACGGGAGGCAGCAGUGGGGAAUAUUGGACAAUGGGCGAAAGCCUGAUCCAGCCAUGCCGCGUGUGUGAAGAAGGUCUUCGGAUUGUAAAGCACUUUAAGUUGGGAGGAAGGGCAGUAAGUUAAUACCUUGCUGUUUUGACGGUACCAUCAGAAUAAGCACCGGCUAACUUCGUG